UACGGAGGGAGCUAGCGUUGUUCGGAAUUACUGGGCGUAAAGCGCGCGUAGGCGGCUUUGUAAGUUAGAGGUGAAAGCCUGGAGCUCAACUUCAGAAUUGCCUUUAAGACUGCAUCGCUUGAAUCCGGGAGAGGUGAGUGGAAUUCCGAGUGUAGAGGUGAAAUUCGUAGAUAUUCGGAAGAACACCAGUGGCGAAGGCGGCUCACUGGACCGGCAUUGACGCUGAGGCGCGAAAGCUAGGGGAGCAAACGGG
rnacentral:rRNA from 1 species